UCCAUAUGAGAGAAUUAUACGGUCCGGCCUGCUCACUGAAUUUUUUUUAAGAGCCGCGGUAUUAUGACCGUGCAAAGGUAGCAUAAUCAUUAGUUUUUUAAUUGAAAACUUGUAUGAAUGGUUAGACAAAAGAAAAGCUGUCUCUUGGUUUUAGCUUGAAUUUCACCUUUAAGUGAAAAGGCUUAAAUUUUUUAGGGGGACGAUAAGACCCUAUGAAGCUUUAUAAUAAGUGUAGAUAUUAUUGGUAUAUAAUAUAAAAUUAAAAUAGGCAAAUAUUAUUUUAUUGGGGCGAUAUUAAUAUAAAUAAUUUAACUGUUAAAGCAACAAACACUUAUAAGUGGUAAAAUGAUCCUUUGUUAAAGAUUAAAAGAUUAAGUUACUCUAGGGAUAACAGGGUAAUUUCUUUUGAGAGUCCUUAUUGAAAAAGAAGUUUGCCACCUCGAUGUUGAAUUAAAAUAUCCGGAUGGUGCAGCCGCCAUAAGGGGAAGGUCUGUUCGACCUUUAAAAUUUUACA
rnacentral:rRNA from 1 species